UACAGAGGGGGCAAGCGUUGUUCGGAAUUACUGGGCGUAAAGGGCGCGUAGGCGGCCUGUUAAGUCGAACGUGAAAUCCCCGGGCUCAACCCGGGAACUGCGUCCGAUACUGGCAGGCUUGAAUCCGGGAGAGGGAUGUGGAAUUCCAGGUGUAGCGGUGAAAUGCGUAGAUAUCAGGAGGAACACCGGUGGUGAAGGCGGCUUGCUGGGCCUUACCUGACGCUGAGGAGCGAAAGCGUGGGGAGCGAACAGG
rnacentral:rRNA from 1 species